rnacentral:rRNA from 1 species
AGAGAGAGACAUGCGCGCAUAUCAAUAAGCGGAGGAAAAGAAACUAACAAGGAUUCCCUUAGUAACGGCGAGUGAAGCGGGAAGAGCUCAAAUUUGAAAUCUUCAAGGUUCUACCUUGACGAAUUGUAGUUUAUAGAAGUGUUUUCUGUUAGUGGAGUGGCAAAAGUUCUUUGGAAUAGGACAUCAUAGGGGGUGAGAAUCCCGUAUUUGGUCAUUCCUCCUAGCGUUGUGAUACACUUUCAACGAGUCGGAUUGUUUGGGAACGCAGUCCAAAAUGGGUGGUAAAUUUCAUCUAAAGCUAAAUAUUGGCGAGAGACCGAUAGCGAACAAGUACCGUGAGGGAAAGAUGAAAAGAACUUUGAAAAGAGAGUUAAACAGUACGUGAAAUUGUCAAAAGGGAAGCGUUUGACACCAGUGUUGUUUUUCCGAAAAUCAAUUACGAAUGUUUUGUUUUUGAGGAGUUAUGACUUCAUCGGCUUGCUCCUUUCUUUAUGAAACUUUCUUAAUGCACUUUUCGGUUAACAAGUCAACAUCAAUUUCUUUUGUUGUAAAAGGGUAUGAGGAAGGUGGCUUUCUUUUCGGAGAAAGUGUUUAUAGCCUUGUGCCUCUGCAAUCGGAGAGAUUGAGGUCUGCAGCGUAGAUCCUUCGGGGUUAGAUACGUUUGUGCUAAGUUAUAGCUUUUCAUAGACAACUUGUUGACUAUGUUUAGUCUUGUAGCUUACUCGCUGACGCUAUCUUACCUACGCUUAGGAUGUUGAUAGUCACAGCGUGUAC